rnacentral:rRNA from 1 species
AUUGAACGCUGGCGGCAGGCCUAACACAUGCAAGUCGAACGAGUGGCGGACGGGUGAGUAAUGUCUGGGAAACUGCCUGAUGGAGGGGGAUAACUACUGGAAACGGUAGCUAAUACCGCAUACCAUCAGAUGUGCCCAGAUGGGAUUAGCUAGUUGGUGGGGUAACGGCUCGCCAAGGCGACGAUCCCUAGCUGGUCUGAGAGGAUGACCAGCCACACUGGAACUGAGACACGGCCCAGACUCCUACGGGAGGCAGCAGUGGGGAAUAUUACACAAUGGGCGCAAGCCUGAUGCAGCCAUGCCGCGUGUAUGAAGAAGGCCUUCGGGUUGUAAAGUACUGUCAGCGGGGAGGCGGUACCCGAAGAAGAAGCACCGGCUAACUCCGUGCCAGCAGCCGCGGUAAUUC